GGGGGGGGGGGGGGGGGGGGCGGGGGGGGGCGGGGCGGACGGGACCGUCGGGUCUAGUGGCGCACGGGUGCGUAGCGCGUGGGAACCUGCCCUUAGGUUCGGAAUAACUCCCCGGGGGGGGUGCUCAUACCGGAUAAUGUCUUCGGACCAAAGAUUUAUCGCCUUUGGAUGGGCCCGCGUUGGAUUCGCUAGUUGGUAGGGUACAAGCCUACCAAGGCGACGAUCCAUAGCUGGUCUGCGAGGAGGAUCAGCCACACUGGGACUGAGACCCGGCCCAGACUCCUACGGGAGGCAGCAGGGGGGAAUAUUGGACAAUGGGCGAAAGCCUGAUCCAGCAAUGCCGCGUGAGUGAUGAAGGCCUUAGGGUUGUAAAGCUCUUUUACCCGGGAUGAUAAUGACAGUACCGGGAGAAUAAGCUCCGGCUAACUCCGUG
rnacentral:rRNA from 1 species